CCGACGGUGAGAGAUGAAAGCUGGGGGAGCAAACCGGAUUAGAUACCCGGGUAGUCCCAGCUGUAAACUAUGCAAACUCAGUGAUGCAUUGGCUUGUGGCCAAUGCAGUGCUGCAGGGAAGCCGUUAAGUUUGCCGCCUGGGAAGUACGUACGCAAGUAUGAAACUUAAAGGAAUUGGCGGGGGAGCACCACAAGGGGUGAAGCCUGCGGUUCAAUUGGAGUCAACGCCAGAAAUCUUACCCGGAGAGACAGCAGAAUGAAGGUCAAGCUGAAGACUUUACCAGACAAGCUGAGAGGUGGUGCAUGGCCGUCGCCAGCUCGUGCCGUGAGAUGUCCUGUUAAGUCAGGUAACGAGCGAGAUCCCUGCCUCUAGUUGCCACCAUUACUCUCAGGAGUAGUGGGGCGAAUUAGCGGGACCGCCGCAGUUAAUGCGGAGGAAGGAAGGGGCCACGGCAGGUCAGUAUGCCCCGAAACUCUGGGGCCACACGCGGGCUGCAAUGGUAACGACAAUUGGUUUCGAAUCCGAAAGGAUGAGGUAAUCCUCAAACGUUACCACAGUUAUGACUGAGGGCUGCAACUCGCCCUCACGAAUAUGGAAUCCCUAGUAACUGCGUGUCAUUAUCGCGCGGUGAAUACGUCCCUGCUCCUUGCACUCACCGCCCGU
rnacentral:rRNA from 1 species